rnacentral:rRNA from 1 species
AAAUUGAAGAGUUUGAUCAUGGCUCAGAUUGAACGCUGGCGGCAGGCCUAACACAUGCAAGUCGAACGGUAGCACAGAGAGCUUGCUCUCGGGUGACGAGUGGCGGACGGGUGAGUAAUGUCUGGGAAACUGCCCGAUGGAGGGGGAUAACUACUGGAAACGGUAGCUAAUACCGCAUAACGUCGCAAGACCAAAGUGGGGGACCUUCGGGCCUCACACCAUCGGAUGUGCCCAGAUGGGAUUAGCUAGUAGGUGGGGUAACGGCUCACCUAGGCGACGAUCCCUAGCUGGUCUGAGAGGAUGACCAGCCACACUGGAACUGAGACACGGUCCAGACUCCUACGGGAGGCAGCAGUGGGGAAUAUUGCACAAUGGGCGCAAGCCUGAUGCAGCCAUGCCGCGUGUAUGAAGAAGGCCUUCGGGUUGUAAAGUACUUUCAGCGAGGAGGAAGGCGUUGUGGUUAAUAACCACAGCGAUUGACGUUACUCGCAGAAGAAGCACCGGCUAACUCCGUGCCAGCAGCCGCGGUAAUACGGAGGGUGCAAGCGUUAAUCGGAAUUACUGGGCGUAAAGCGCACGCAGGCGGUUUGUUAAGUCAGAUGUGAAAUCCCCGGGCUCAACCUGGGAACUGCAUUUGAAACUGGCAAGCUUGAGUCUCGUAGAGGGGGGUAGAAUUCCAGGUGUAGCGGUGAAAUGCGUAGAGAUCUGGAGGAAUACCGGUGGCGAAGGCGGCCCCCUGGACAAAGACUGACGCUCAGGUGCGAAAGCGUGGGGAGCAAACAGGAUUAGAUACCCUGGUAGUCCACGCCGUAAACGAUGUCUACUUGGAGGUUGUGCCCUUGAGGCGUGGCUUCCGGAGCUAACGCGUUAAGUAGACCGCCUGGGGAGUACGGCCGCAAGGUUAAAACUCAAAUGAAUUGACGGGGGCCCGCACAAGCGGUGGAGCAUGUGGUUUAAUUCGAUGCAACGCGAAGAACCUUACCUGGUCUUGACAUCCACGGAAGUUUUCAGAGAUGAGAAUGUGCCUUCGGGAACCGUGAGACAGGUGCUGCAUGGCUGUCGUC